rnacentral:lncRNA from 1 species
GUUUCACUUUCGUGUUUCUGUUGUUUCGUUGUUUUCCUUUUAUACUUGAUGUGUCUCCCUCCGUUUUAUUUGCAACCUGAAUUUUUUUACUGUCAAUCAAUAAAUUACUUUUGAACAGCGGUAUACUACUGUUGCCUGUAUUUAAAUAUCCGAAUGAGGAGAUUUUCUGUUAUACGAUUUUCAUCUCUCUAUGUACACCGUUUAAAUAUUUAGCGGUAGACGAUUUAAAAAUAAAUAUAUCACUCAUAUCUCUAUUUAAGCCGCUAUCAGCAAAAA